rnacentral:tRNA from 1 species
UGAUAAUUAGUUUAACCCAAAACAAAUGAUUUCGACUCAUUAGAUUAUGAUUCAGCUCAUAGUUAUCAUC